AGGGCGCGGAGGGUGCGGUGGCGCGGCCGAGGCCGAGGCCUGUGCCAAUGCCGGCCCCGUCCCGCCUCGCCGGGAGAUGAAACGUGUCUAAAGCCUUUCCGCGCUGUGGGCUCCGCUCCGAUUCCACGUUCUUCCCUAAGAGAAGCGGAAAGGUUUCUGUCUCCCUAUUGGAUCCACCCAGAGCCCAGUCCUGGAGGUAGCUUUGUUAGGAGUAAUCUUACUUCAAAACCCAGGCAUCAAUAUUUGGAAGAACUGAGAAAAAGGCUGUGUGGGGAACUUCUCAUGGAAGACUGAAAACCAAGGUGUAAGUCAGGUUACUGCUGCUGUUACGCAUGCUGUUACGCAGUUCGCCAAAGUGGAGCCCUGCUUUGAAGGGGAUUGCAACCUGAUGCAAGAGGGCUCUCCUCUGCAGAUCGCAGCCCCAACCCAGCCUAAACUUCUGGAUGUAGUUGGUAACAUGAAAGUUAUGUUUCAUUGGAACCCACAUCUGAUACUGCAUACUCUGAAUUGUUUGCACUCAGACCUUGGACCUUGAGGUGUUUCAGAAAGACAAAGAAUACUGUGUGAGAUGAUCAGCACUGAGACUGAAAGUAUUGCACAUACUGAGCUCUGAUUGAGUGCAUUUCACCCUAAAGAAAACCUGAAACACCAUGGAAAUUUCUACCAUUCCAACAUCAUGACUGAUCCCUCUGGAGGAACGAAUUCUUAGAUGCGUUAACACCGUGCCAGAAGAGCAGCAGAGCAGAUUACAAGCCAUAGCUUCAUCGCUGCAUUUCAGACUCCUAUUUGUAUACGACACAAUAUAUGGGUUUUCAUAUGCUGCCAAGAAAUCAAGUUUGGGAAAAAAGGGCGCGAGAACUUUUCAUCUGCAAUUCAGUUUGAAUAACAAGUUGUUAAAAAAGCACUUUGAAAUGUAAAUAGCAGUUUUGCAAAGUCUAUUAAUAGUUUCAAUAACUUCACUGCUCAGUGGCUCUGUAUUCCAGACGUUUGUGUCUCAGCUUGCUCCUUAGCAAGGGAAGAGCCAGUUGCGCUUCCCUGACGUCCCACUCGGCACAGCACAGGCUCCCUCUCCACUGCGGCACAGGCUGAAAUGCUGAUCUCAUGUUUGGUCUUUUGACAAAUUUUCAUUUAAUGAAUUGAUUCCUACAGUUCAUUAACAUACCCACUUCCACUUCUGUAUACACAUAUGUCUUAAUUAGCUGCUCAUUGGCUGUUUAAUUACAAGAAAACAGCUGACAGCUGCCUUGCUGCAUCCUAAUGGCAGACGGUUUGGAAUGACUGUAUGCAAGCCUGUGACAACAAAGGCUUAUUCAUAAUCCCAUGAUUUAUGGCUAAUACUUAAAGACUUCCACGUAUCAUUAAGUUUUGCAAUAUUCUGUGCAAUUAACAAUUAGUUGAGGGGGGUGGGGUGUCAUUCUUUUACUGUUUUCCAAAGCAAACUAUUGCAGAUUUUCUUUAAAGAAACAUCAAAAAAAGUAGCCAUACGAAAGAUCAACAUUCAAAUGGGAUUUUUAACCCUUUUAUGACAAUAAGCCCAUAUUUUAGUUGUAAAGGAAGGAGAGUGCUGUGACAAUAUUGUUUGUUUAAUAAACUUUGUUAAUAAAGUAUUUGUAGUGCCACUGGAAACAGAGAAAAGAUGUUCAGUUUUACAUGUGUGGUGAAGACAGGAGUGAGAUUGUGUUUAUCAGGUUAUAGGAGGCUCUGACUAGCCCUUUCUGCAACAUGGCUCAUCUCUUUUCUAACAUGUUUUGCUUGAAAUUGGCUAGGCAAAAAAAUGAACGGAAAAAUUCACAAGCAUGACUUUGAGGUCAGUGUUUGCAAUGCCGACAUCACGCUCCAUGUUCAAUAAAGUAAUGAACAACUGGCCAGUAAAGAAAGUGAAUGAAUGAAAGGAAUGAACAAAAGUAAUGCAAGAUGGGAAGUGGCAGUACACCAGCUGUUGUUUUCUGAAGUAACACGGACAUUCUUUGUAGUUACAAUGAGCGAGACCAUUUUAGGUCUUAACAGACACAAGAGCCAAAAGCCAGUACCUAUCAACCUCUGAAAAUGUGAAAGGUGCCCAGAAACGCCCUGCGUGGAUGGUUUUAUGAGACCAACUGCGUACAGCAAGUAAAGAGAGGGAUCACACUAAUGCAUUUGUGGGUCAGUUGGGCAUGAACUGACACUAUCGAAGUCACUGCAUCUGCAAAUUAAAAGACAUGGUUCAUUACCAAAAGCCUCAUUUCAACCUAAAUGCUUUGCUAUGUCCUUUUGAAGCAUUCAGGUAUUUUCUGACAGUGCUGAACUGGAUUCACCUUUCAGCUAUGAAAAAAGAAUACAGGUGUGUACAAACCAGUCUCCCUUCUCAGCAUGGUCCCGAAUAGGGAGCAAAAGGUUGUUAGCGGGUUCCCACAACUAACGGUUAAGGAGGUGCUCCAUACAGAUACCAGUUUUUUCAGUAGUGCUACUACAAUAGUGGUAUUUCCAAUCUUACA